AGACUAGCAGAUGCGAAAGCGUUCGCCACGGAUGUACUCUUUGAUCAAGAACGAAAGUUGGGGGAUCGAAGACGAUCAGAUACCGUCGUAGUCUCAACUAUAAACUAUACCAGCUAGGGAUCGGGCAAUGCUGUAAUCCAGAAGGCUUGCUCGGCACCUUAUGAGAAAUCAAAGCAUUUGGGUUCCGGGGGGAGUAUGGUCGCAAGGCUGAAACUUAAAAGGAAUUGACGGAAGGGCACCACCAGGUGUGGAGCCUGUGGCUUAAUUUGACUCAACACGGGAAAACUUACCAAGUCCAGACAUAGUAAGGAUUGACAGAUUGACAGCUCU
rnacentral:rRNA from 1 species